rnacentral:rRNA from 1 species
GGCGGCGUGCCUAACACAUGCAAGUCGAACGAGAAAGUGGAGCAAUCCAUGAGUAAAGUGGCGACCGGGUGAGUAACACGUGACUAACCUACCCUAGAGUGGGGAAUAACCUCGGGAAACCGGGGCUAAUACCGCAUAACAUCGCGAGCUGUAAACGCUUGUGAUCAAAGGAGUAAUUCGCUCAAGGAGGGGGUCGCGGCUGAUUAGUUAGUUGGUGAGGUAACGGCUCACCAAGACUUAGAUCAGUAGCCGGCCUGAGAGGGCGCACGGCCACACUGGAACUGAAACACGGUCCAGACUCCUACGGGAGGCAGCAGUGGGGAAUUUUGCGCAAUGGGGGAAACCCUGACGCAGCAACGCCGCGUGGAGGAUGAAGUCCCUUGGGAUGUAAACUCCUUUCGAUCGGGACGAUAAUGACGGUACCGGAAGAAGAAGCACCGGCUAACUCUGUGCCAGCAGCCGCGGUAAUACAGAGGGUGCAAGCGUUGUUCGGAAUUAUUGGGCGUAAAGGGUGCGUA